rnacentral:rRNA from 1 species
UAGGGAAUCUUCGGCAAUGGACGAAAGUCUGACCGAGCAACGCCGCGUGAGUGAAGAAGGUUUUCGGAUCGUAAAACUCUGUUGUUAGAGAAGAACAAGGACGUUAGUAACUGAACGUCACCUGACGGUAUCUAACCAGAAAGCCACGGCUAACUACGUGCCAGCAGCCGCGGUAAUACGUAGGUGGCAAGCGUUGUCCGGAUUUAUUGGGCGUAAAGCGAGCGCAGGCGGUUUCUUAAGUCUGAUGUGAAAGCCCCCGGCUCAACCGGGGAGGGUCAUUGGAAACUGGGAGACUUGAGUGCAGAAGAGGAGAGUGGAAUUCCAUGUGUAGCGGUGAAAUGCGUAGAUAUAUGGAGGAACACCAGUGGCGAAGGCGGCUCUCUGGUCUGUAACUGACGCUGAGGCUCGAAAGCGUGGGGAGAAAACAGG